UUGCAUCCACUGAUAGACCUGAAGCAGACUUCACCGGCUUUUGGGUUUGCAUAGAGAUGCUAAACUGAGUCUUCCUUGCACUUUCUGGCUGCUACGUUCUAUAGCAGCACAGAAUUAAAUGGAGGAAUACAUGU
rnacentral:snoRNA from 1 species